rnacentral:rRNA from 1 species
GACGAACGCUGGCGGCGUGCUUCAGACAUGCAAGUCGAGCGGGCGGAGGUCGAACCGCAAGGGGAGGCUGAAGCUAGCGGCGAACGGGUGAGUAACACGUGGGUAAUCUACCCGGAAGACUGGGAUAACGGCCCGAAAGGGCCGCUAAUACCGGAUAAUAUCGCGGUCUCGCAUGAGGCUGCGAAGAAAGGCGAAAGCCACUUUCGGAUGAGCCCGCGACCCAUCAGCUAGUUGGUGAGGUAACGGCUCACCAAGGCGACGACGGGUAGCCGGUCUGAGAGGAUGGUCGGCCACACUGGGACUGAGAUACGGCCCAGACUCCUACGGGAGGCAGCAGUCGAGAAUAGUCUACAAUGGCCGGAAGGCUGAUAGUGCGACGCCGCGUGAACGAGGGAGCCCUUCGGGUGUAAAGUCUUUUCUAUACGAGCAGUGCUAUAUAUAUGGAUAGUAUAUAUAGAGGGAUAGUAGUAUAGGAAUAAGCAACGGCUAACUCCGUG